CUUCUCAUUACUCUAAGAGCCUUGGUUCAUCUGAACAAAUAUUUUCAGGUGCAUUCCCUAAGAACUAUGAACCUCCUGCUAAUUUCUACUAUGAAGUAAAUGAUGAUUCUCCAAUUGUACAGGAUGAUGUCAAUUUGUUUGACUACAAUGUCCCUGAACGUGUAAAUGAGUUCGUCGUAGCGGCGAUAUCUCAGGUGUGGAACUUAUCCUU